rnacentral:tRNA from 1 species
UGGGGGCUCGUCUAAUGGCAGGACGACAGACUCUGGAUCUGUUUGUAGAGGUUCGAAUCCUUUGCCCCCAGCCU